rnacentral:lncRNA from 1 species
AACAUCAAUUGAAUAAGGGUUGUGUUUAAAAUUUUUCAAACUAACAGAUAGGGCCUUACUCUCUUCAAGAGUAGCGGUCAUUUGAGUUUGAAUAGCCGCUAUUUGUCGGGUGAGUGCAUCGAAUUAUGAGGGGUCCAUGUUUAAGGUACUGGAGCUAGAAGUGACAAGAUGACCAAUAUGUAACUACAUGCACUGUAAUAGCAACUUAAUGACAUGCAAUAGAGAGAUCAAUGAACAAAAAGUGC